AUGAACGCUGGCGGCGUGCCUAAUACAUGCAAGUCGAGCGAACAGACGAGGAGCUUGCUCCUCUGACGUUAUCGGCGGACGGUUGAGUAACACGUGGAUAACCUACCUAUAAGACUGGGAUAACUUCGGGAAACCGGAGCUAAUACCGGAUAAUAUAUUGAACCGCAUGGUUCAAUAGUGAAAGACGGUUUUGCUUUCACUUAUAGAUUGAUCCGCGCCCCAUUAGCUAGUUGGUAAGGUAACGGCUUACCAAGGCAACGAUGCGUAGCCGACCUUAGAGGGUGAGCGGCCACACUGGAACUGAGACACGGUCCAGACAACUACGGGAGGCAGCAGUAGGGAAUCUUCCGAAAUGGGCGAAAGCAUGACGGAGCAAAGCCGCGUGAGUGAUGAAGGGCUUCGGAUCGUAAAACUCUGUUAUUAGGGAAGAACAAAUGUGUAAGUAAAUAUGCACGUCAUGACGGUACCUAAUCAGAAAGCCACGGCUAACUACGUG
rnacentral:rRNA from 1 species